rnacentral:rRNA from 1 species
UACAGAGGGUGCAAGCGUUGUCCGGAAUCACUGGGCGUAAAGGGCGCGUAGGUGGUUUGGUAAGUGUGUGGUGAAAGCCCGGGGCUCAACCCCGGGUCUGCCGCGCAAACUGCUGAACUUGAGCAUACUAGAGGCAGGUUGAAUUCCGGGUGUAGCGGUGAAAUGCGCAGAUAUCAGGAAGAACACCAAUGGCGAAAGCAGCUCUCUGGGACGGUACUGACGCUGAGACGCGAAAGCGUGGGGAGCGAACAGG